AGGAGGAACAGCCCCAGUGGCGGGGCAGCUCUGGAAACCUGGAUUCAGCUCCGGCAGGAACUCUGCCUCAGGGCCUGGAGGCUCCGGGGCGGG
rnacentral:pre_miRNA from 1 species